rnacentral:rRNA from 1 species
UACGUAGGGUGCGAGCGUUAAUCGGAAUUACUGGGCGUAAAGCGUGCGCAGGCGGCGGCUCAAGUCAGGUGUGAAAUCCCCGGGCUUAACCUGGGAAUUGCGCUUGAAACUAGGCUGCUUGAGUGUGGCAGAGGGGGGUGGAAUUCCACGUGUAGCAGUGAAAUGCGUAGAGAUGUGGAGGAACACCGAUGGCGAAGGCAGCCCCCUGGGUCAACACUGACGCUCAGGCACGAAAGCGUGGGGAGCAAAC